AAGACCGGCCAGGUGAGCUCUCUCUCUCUCUCUCUACAGCUUCCGGCGUCGCCACACGGGCCCGGCCCGACUCAAAUCGCUGGCGUCUCGGUUCAAUUCCAGACUGGGGUGAGAGGUUACGGACAACAUGGGAAGUUCCCCGGACCGCAGAGUUUCCACAGAUCCGAUUGGGCUCCGGGUUGCGUUGUCUCUGGGACGUCUGCGGGUGGAGGUGACGUGACCAGGUGAAUAAUUAUAGAGCAGUCACUGCAGCGUGCAGCCACUGAGAUGGGAGAUUCACAUAGACGCGGUGCGGGGCGGAAUUGAAGAAUGAAACAGAGCUGCGUGUGUAUAGUAUCUAUAGAUCCUGCAACUGGAGUCUGGGAACCCUGCACCUGGAGGCGUCUGAAGCGUGAGGGUGACGUGAGAAGGUGAAUAAUUACAGAGCAGUCACUGCAGCGUGCAGCCACUGAGAUGGGAGAUUCGCGAUGACGCGGUGCGGGGCUGCAUUGAAUUCAAUGAAGAAACAGCCAGGGUCACUCAGUUCCGUGCGUACAUCACCCAGAGAACCUGCACCUGGAACCUGGAGACCCUGCACCUGGAACCGUCUGAAGCGUCUCCCUUCCGCAGCUGGUCCCCCAUGGGCUGCUCCAUGUUCUCAACACGGCCUGCACUCACACAGUAGCGUACAACGCAUGUUAGUACAUUCACAUAUCAGACACACACGUCACGUCAAUACGUUCACAUAUUAAGACAAUCACACUUUGUGUUUAUGCAUCACUCACCUUUACCGGGGUUUGAAACCUCGCGCCUUUUAACUCCCGUCGCAUGCGGGUGUUGUCUCGCAUCGCCUUGCGCCACCGAGUCUUCACACAGGUACACGGGGCUCUGCGCGGUGUAGUGAUUGCACUGCGCGCACGUUGGCUGUCGAAACACAGGCAGCGACCGUCACUGCGUGGUUAGUAAAUCAGCAAAAAAUCUAAAGUGGGAUUCGAACCCCGCUCCUCGGCUUCUAACGCCCCAGUGGAAUACCA